GGAUUUGUGGCUCAGUGAUAGAGCACUCGCCUAGCACGUGUGAGAAUCUGGGUUCAAUCCUCAGCACCA
rnacentral:tRNA from 1 species